GGUGGCAUGGGUUUAUAGAUUCCAGCUGGACAUAUUGGUUGAUGCACAUAGAUGAAUAAUUUUGAUUUAUAUACAAAUAUCAUUUCAUAGAAUUCAUAAUCUAUUGAAAAAUGAGCUUACUAAUCUGACUUUAUUUUUAACUCUAUCAAUUUUUAUGGGAGCCAUACACAAAAGAGAUAUUGUCCAUAUUAUCACAGAUGCACACGGAUGGACAUGAUAUAUGGGCUGCUAGAGUGUCGCUUAUUUAUUUUGAUGUGGUAGAGUGG
rnacentral:lncRNA from 1 species